rnacentral:misc_RNA from 1 species
CGCUUGCCAUCCGUGGCUCGCCUCAAAUCGAUUAGCUGGAUCAGUCCUUGAGACGUGGUUUGACUUGGCGUAAUAAGUAUUUCGUCAGGGACACUUCGGUGGCCAUCCUCUUGACUACGAUCCGCUCUCCAACCCUUGUGCCUUUGUGCCAAACCUUGACAUCUGGCCUCAAAUCAGGUAGGACUACCCGCUGAACUUAA